UACUAUAUCAAUCAAUGAGAUAAAUGAAUAUGGUUCCUGGAGCUUUGAAAGAAGAAUGAUCCAAUGGAUUGAUUACUUAUAAAGAAGGCUCUGUGAGAUUUGAAGGUGUUGCUGAUUAAUAUGGAACCCUGACUCUAAUUGCUUGAUUAUUCUUGCUUUUCUUUGAUCAACUCUUUGGAAAGCUGUGGAUGACGAUCUCAUGUGAUAAUGACAUUGUCUA
rnacentral:lncRNA from 1 species